rnacentral:rRNA from 1 species
GAUGAACGCUGGCGGCGUGCCUAAUACAUGCAAGUCGAGCGAACGGACGAGAAGCUUGCUUCUCUGAUGUUAGCGGCGGACGGGUGAGUAACACGUGGAUAACCUACCUAUAAGACUGGGAUAACUUCGGGAAACCGGAGCUAGUACCGGAUGAUAUUUUGAACCGCAUGGUUCAAAAGUGAAAGACGGUCUUGCUGUCACUUAUAGAUGGAUCCGCGCUGCAUUAGCUAGUUGGUAAGGUAACGGCUUACCAAGGCAACGAUGCAUAGCCGACCUGAGAGGGUGAUCGGCCACACUGGAACUGAGACACGGUCCAGACUCCUACGGGAGGCAGCAGUAGGGAAUCUUCCACAAUGGGCGAAAGCCUGACGGAGCAACGCCGCGUGAGUGAUGAAGGUCUUCGGAUCGUAAAACUCUGUUAUUAGGGAAGAACAUAUGUGUAAGUAACUGUGCACAUCUUGACGGUACCUAAUCAGAAAGCCACGGCUAACUACGUG